rnacentral:tRNA from 1 species
GCGGGUGUAGUUCAACGGUAGAACGAAAGCUUCCCAAGCUUUAGACGGGGGUUCGACUCCCCUCACCCGCUCCA